AUUGAACGCUGGCGGCAGGCCUAACACCUGCAAGUCGAGCGAGCGGCGGACGGGAGAGUAAUGUAUGGGGACUGCCCGAUAGAGGGGGAUAACUACUGGAAACGGUGGCUAAUACCGCAUACUAUCGGAUAACCCAUAUGGGAUUCUCUAGUAGGUGGGGUACAGGCUCACCUAGGCGACGAUCUCUAGCUGGUAUGCGAGGAUGAUCAGACACACUGGGACUGAGACACGGCCCAGACUCCGACGGAGGCAGCAGUGGGGAAUAUUGAACAAUGGGCGCAAGCCUGAUGAAGCCAUGCCGCGUGUAUGAAGAAGGCCUGAGGGUUGUAAAGUACUUUCAGCGGGGAGGCGUUACCCGCAGAAGAAGCACCGGCUAACUCCGUGCCAGCAGCCGCGGUAAUUC
rnacentral:rRNA from 1 species